UACGUAGGGACCAAGCGUUGUUCGGAUUUACUGGGCGUAAAGGGCGCGUAGGCGGCAUGACAAGUCACUUGUGAAAUCUCCGGGCUUAACUCGGAACGGCCAAGUGAUACUGUCAAGCUAGAGUGCAGAAAGGGCAAUCGGAAUUCUUGGUGUAGCGGUGAAAUGCGUAGAUAUCAGGAGGAACACCGGUGGCGAAGGCGGCGACCUGGGCCAAUACUGACACUGAGGUGCGAAAGCGUGGGGAGCAAACAGG
rnacentral:rRNA from 1 species